rnacentral:rRNA from 1 species
GAUGAACGCUGGCGGCGUGCCUAAUACAUGCAAGUCGAGCGAACGGACGAGGAGCUUGCUUCUCUGAUGUUAGCGGCGGACGGGUGAGUCACACGUGGAUAACCUACCUAUAAGACUGGGAUAACUUCGGGAAACCGGAGCUAAUACCGGAUGAUAUUUUGAACCGCAUGGUUCAAGAGUGAAAGACGGUCUUGCUGUCACUUAUAGAUGGAUCCGCGCUCCAUUAGCUAGUUGGUAAGGUAACGGCUUACCAAGGCAACGAUGCAUAGCCGACCUGAGAGGGUGAUCGGCCACACUGGAACUGAGACACGGUCCAGACUCCUACGGGAGGCAGCAGUAGGGAAGCGUCCGCAAUUGGCGAAAGCGUGACGGAGCAACGCCGCGUGAGUGAUGAAGGUCUUCGGAUCGUAAAACUCUGUUAUUAGGGAAGAACAGAUGUGUAAGUAACUGUGCACGUCUUGACGGUACCUAAUCAGAAAGCCACGGCUAACUACGUG